GUUUGACCUCGGAUCAGGUAGGAAUACCCGCUGAACUUAAGCAUAUCAU
rnacentral:rRNA from 1 species